AGUGAACGCUGGCGGUAGGCCUAACACAUGCAAGUCGAACGGCAGCACAGUAAGAGCUUGCUCUUACGGGUGGCGAGUGGCGGACGGGUGAGGAAUACAUCGGAAUCUACUUUUUCGUGGGGGAUAACGUAGGGAAACUUACGCUAAUACCGCAUGCGACCUACGGGUGAAAGCAGGGGAUCUUCGGACCUUGCGCGAUUGAAUGAGCCGAUGUCGGAUUAGCUAGUUGGCGGGGUAAAGGCCCACCAAGGCGACGAUCCGUAGCUGGUCUGAGAGGAUGAUCAGCCACACUGGAACUGAGACACGGUCCAGACUCCUACGGGAGGCAGCAGUGGGGAAUAUUGGACAAUGGGCGAAAGCCUGAUCCAGCCAUACCGCGUGGGUGAAGAAGGCCUUCGGGUUGUAAAGCCCUUUUGUUGGGAAAGAAAAGCAGCAGGUUAAUACCCCGCUGUUCUGACGGUACCCAAAGAAUAAGCACCGGCUAACUUCGUG
rnacentral:rRNA from 1 species